rnacentral:tRNA from 1 species
GGGCGAGUAGCUCAGGUGGCUAGAGCGUCUCGCUUACAACGAGGAGGUCCCAGGUUCGAGUCCUGGCUCGCCCA